rnacentral:rRNA from 1 species
UACGAAGGGGGCUAGCGUUGCUCGGAAUGACUGGGCGUAAAGGGCGCGUAGGCGGUUUGUACAGUCAGGUGUGAAAUUCCCGGGCUCGACCUGGGGGCUGCACUUGAUACGUGUGGACUGGAGUGGGGAAGAGGGUCGUGGAAUUCCCAGUGUAGAGGUGAAAUUCGUAGAUAUUGGGAAGAACACCGGUGGCGAAGGCGGCGACCUGGUCCUUGACUGACGCUGAGGCGCGAAGGCGUGGGGAGCAAACAGG